rnacentral:lncRNA from 1 species
GUUGUUUGCAUUAGAAUUCACGAAUAUGUUGCAUUGCAUAUUAUGUUGUUGAUGUGGAUGAACAUUGAAUGAUCCAUUAGUCCUCGUAUGAUAUGGUAUGAUGAUGAUACAGUAUGGAAGUCCAGGAAGACCCAUUCUACGUCCCUGGCACAAUGUAAGAGAAAGUCCAGGAAGACUCAUUCUACGUCCUUGGCACAUUGGAAUGUUAUGACAUGUUAGUAAGAGGAAGUCCAGGAAGACCCAUUCUACGUCCCUGGCACUAUUGGAUAUGUAGAGGACUAUUGGUGAAAAGUUCAUCCUUAAUGUGAUUUGUUUGUGAUGUGAUACAUUUCAU